rnacentral:tRNA from 1 species
GCGAGCGUAGCCAAGCGGUUAAGGCAGAGGAUUGUGGAUCCUCCAUUCAUGGGUUCGAGUCCCAUCGUUCGCC